rnacentral:rRNA from 1 species
CCUACGGGAGGCAGCAGUAAGGAAUAUUGGUCAAUGGAGGCAACUCUGAACCAGCCAUGCCGCGUGCAGGAAGACGGCCCUAUGGGUUGUAAACUGCUUUUGAACUAGAGAAAACCUUGGUACGUGUACCGAGUUGAUAGUAUAGUUAGAAUAAGCAUCGGCUAACUUCGUGCCAGCAGCCGCGGUAAGACGAAGGAUGCAAGCGUUAUCCGGAUUCAUUGGGUUUAAAGGGUGCGUAGGCGGACUGAUAAGUCAGUGGUGAAAUCUCUCAGCUUAACUGAGAAACUGCCAUUGAUACUGUUAGUCUAGAGUACAGAUGAUGUGGGCGGAAUAUGACAUGUAGUGGUGAAAUACUUAGAUAUGUCAUAGAACACCGAUUGCGAAGGCAGCUCACAAACUGUAACUGACGCUGAGGCACGAAAGUGCGGGGAUCAAACAGGAUUAGAUACCCUGGUAGUCCGCACCGUAACGAUGAUUACUCGUUGUUGGCGAUAUGACAGUCAGCGACCAAGCGAAGCGANAGAAUCCACCUGGGAGUACGCGGCACGGUGAACUCAAGGAAUUGAGGCGNGNGNGNGCGAGNGACGAGNGGAGAGG